UGCGCCGAACCGGACUGGGCAUAAUUAAAUUUAUAUUAAUUUAUUUAUAUUAUACACGUGGUGCUAUAUAAUUGGAGGUUGCAAAGAAUUAAAAUAGAACUUCUGCACUUGAUUUCAGCCCGUGUUAAACACUUAGGGCUUUCUUUCUCUAGCGAUACAUUUUUUCUCCUCCCUUUCAAACUCUGUCUCAGCCAUCGACGAUAGCGCCUCCAAUUCUUCCUCCACUCUCCCCAGUCACUGCUCCGCCUCUCAGUCGUCGACGUCACAGCCGUUCUUCUCGUCGUCGGCGCCUCUGUCUGGUGAUAUUUGAAGUUAGAGAGCGACAGGGGAAAUUAUAUGAAGAUAUUUCAGUACUCAGCAGCAAACUAGGGAACUAAUUUUAUGGUUUUUAAUAUCUUCAAAUUUCUGUGAACAACACUGUAUGCCAUUUCUCCCAGCUUGCAAGUGACGAAACAGUGUUGGAAGAAGGAGAUAUUCUGAAGAUGACUUUAUUAGAUUAUCAGUUGCUGUUUAUUGACUCCUACCAUUGUGGAGGCCUUAAUUUGUGCCCAAAAUUGGUUAAAGUCCGAUGACAUCUCUUCUUUAGAGUAUGAGCCAAGCAUUCAAGAGAUGGAGUUUUAUGAAUCGAUUGAGACAGAUCUUAGGAGGCCACGCACACCAACCAAUUCAACUCAUGCAACUUUCCAAUGAGACUACAUGGUUGUUUGAGUGUGGUUUCUGUCUUGAGUUCAUCCAACUAGAGCAAAGCUUGGUAAACCUUGUGAUAUGAGAUUUGCUGCUCAAAUUUUUGGCAACUUGAUAAUGGAUGACAUAAUGGAGCCAAUUGUAUAUUUGUUUUGUGUAAUUUAAUUUGCUGCUCAACUUUGUGUAAUUUAAUUUGCUGCUCAACUUAGCCAACCUUGUGUAAUUUAAUUUGCUGUAGUUUAAUUUGGCAGAUUUGAUUACUGCUGAACUUUGCUGUAAUUUAAUUUGCUGCUGAACUUCGCUGUAGUUUAAUUUGGCAGACUUGAUUACUGCUGAAAACUUUGCUAUAAUUUAAUUUGGCAGACUUGAUAACUGCUGAACUUAUCAUUU